UAAUACAGAGGGUGCAAGCGUUAAUCGGAAUUACUGGGCGUAAAGGGUGCGUAGGUGGUUAUGUAAGUUAGAUGUGAAAUACCCGGGCUUAACCUGGGGGCUGCGUCUGAUACUGCAUGGCUAGAGUCCUGUAGAGGAAAGUGGAAUUUCCGGUGUAGCAGUGAAAUGCGUAGAUAUCGGAAGGAACAUCAGUGGCGAAGGCGACUUUCUGGACAGAGACUGACACUGAGGCACGAAAGCGUGGGGAGCAAACAGG
rnacentral:rRNA from 1 species